rnacentral:rRNA from 1 species
UGGGGAUAUUGCGCAAUGGGGGAAACCCUGACGCAGCAACGCCGCGUGAAGGAUGAAGGUCUUCGGAUUGUAAACUUCUUUUAUUAAGGACGAAGAAUGACGGUACUUAAUGAAUAAGCUCCGGCUAACUACGUGCCAGCAGCCGCGGUAAUACGGAGGAUGCGAGCGUUAUCCGGAUUUAUUGGGUUUAAAGGGUGCGCAGGCGGCGCGCCAAGUCAGCGGUCAAAGUUCCGGGCUCAACCCGGUGUCGCCGUUGAAACUGGCGUGCUCGAGUGCGUGCGAGGAAGGCGGAAUGCGUUGUGUAGCGGUGAAAUGCAUAGAUAUGACGCAGAACUCCGAUUGCGAAGGCAGCUUUCCAGCGCGCUACUGACGCUGAGGCACGAAAGCGUGG